rnacentral:tRNA from 1 species
CAUUAAGAAGCUAUGGAACAGCACUAGCCUUUUAAGCUAGAGACAGAGGAUUUACACCUCCUUAAUGA